rnacentral:tRNA from 1 species
AUUAGAGUGGCGCAGUGGAAGUGUGGUGGGCCCAUAACCCAUAGAUCCUAAGAUCAAAACUUGGCUCUGAUA